rnacentral:rRNA from 1 species
UACGAAGGGGGCUAGCGUUGUUCGGAUUUACUGGGCGUAAAGCGCACGUAGGCGGAUUGUUAAGUCGGGGGUGAAAUCCUGGAGCUCAACUCCAGAAUUGCCUUCGAUACUGGCUUUCUAGAGGCUGGAAGAGGUUAGUGGAAUUCCCAGUGUAGAGGUGAAAUUCGUAGAUAUUGGGAAGAACACCAGUGGCGAAGGCGGCUCACUGGCCCGGUACUGACGCUGAGGUGCGAAAGCGUGGGGAGCAAACAGG